rnacentral:rRNA from 1 species
GAUGAACGCUGGCGGCGUGCUUAACACAUGCAAGUCGAACGGAAAGGCUCCUGCUUGCAGGGGUACUCGAGUGGCGAACGGGUGAGUAACACGUGGGUGAUCUGCCCUGCACUUCGGGAUAAGCCUGGGAAACUGGGUCUAAUACCGGGUCGGACGAUGGUUUGGAUGCCAUUGUGGACAGUUUUUCGGUGUGGGAUGGGCUCGCGGCCUAUCAGCUUGUUGGUGGGGUAAUGGCCUACCAAGGCGUCGACGGGUAGCCGGCCUGAGGGGGUGUGCGGCCACAUUGGGACUGAGAUACGGCCCAGACUCCUACGGGAGGCAGCAGUAGGGAAUAUUGCACAAGGGCCGCAAGCGUGAUGCAGCGACGCCGCGUGGGGGAUGACGGCCUUCGGGUUGUAAACGCCUUUCGCUAGGGACGAAGCGCAAGUGACGGGACCUGGAGAAGAAGCACCGGCCAACUACGUG